rnacentral:rRNA from 1 species
CCUACGGGAGGCAGCAGUAGGGAAUCUUCCGCAAUGGGCGAAAGCCUGACGGAGCAACGCCGCGUGAGUGAUGAAGGUCUUCGGAUCGUAAAACUCUGUUAUUAGGGAAGAACAAAUGUGUAAGUAACUAUGCACGUCUUGACGGUACCUAAUCAGAAAGCCACGGCUAACUACGUGCCAGCAGCCGCGGUAAUA